UGAGAAAUAUAUGUUGACACAUUGUCUAGU
rnacentral:piRNA from 1 species